rnacentral:rRNA from 1 species
CACGGGGUUGCGAGCGUUGUCCGGAAUUACUAGGUGUAAAGGGCAGGCAGGCGGAUCCAUAAGUUUAUCGUUUAAGGCGUCGGCUUAACCGGCGUAGGGCGGUAGAUACUGUGGAUCUGGAAUGCGGUUGGGGAAGACAGAAUUCCUGGUGUAGCGGUGGAAUGCGCAGAGAUCAGGAGGAAUACCGAAGGCGAAGGCAGUCUUCCAAGCCGUUAUUGACGCUCAACUGCGAAGGUGUGGGUAUCAAACAGGAUUAGAUACCCCGGUAGUCCCUGAG